rnacentral:rRNA from 1 species
CGCCGCGUGAGGGAUGACGUGUCCUAUCGGGUUGUAAACCUCUUUCAGCACAGACGAAGCGCAAGUGACGGUAUGUGCAGAAGAAGGACCGGCCAACAACGUGCCAGCAGCCGCGGUAAUACGUAGGGUCCGAGCGUUGUCCGGAAUUACUGGGCGUAAAGAGCUCGUAGGUGGUUUGUCGCGUUGUUCGUGAAAACUCACAGCUUAACUGUGGGCGUGCGGGCGAUACGGGCAGACUAGAGUACUGCAGGGGAGACUGGAAUUCCUGGUGUAGCGGUGGAAUGCGCAGAUAUCAGGAGGAACACCGGUGGCGAAGGCGGGUCUCUGGGCAGUAACUGACGCUGAGGAGCGAAAGCGUGGGGAGCGAACAGGAUUAGAUACCCUGGUAGUCCACGCCGUAAACGGUGGGUACUAGGUGUGGGUUUCCUUCCUUGGGAUCCGUGCCGUAGCUAACGCAUUAAGUACCCCGCCUGGGGAGUACGGCCGCAAGGCUAAAACUCAAAGGAAUUGACGGGGGCCCGCACAAGCGGCGGAGCACGUGGAUUAAUUCGAUGCAACGCGAAGAACCUUACCUGGGUUUGACAUGCACAGGACGCUGGUAGAGAUAUCAGUU